rnacentral:snRNA from 3 species
GUGUUCGUUUUGUCAGCACUUAUACUAAAACUGGGAUGAUCCAGAGAAGAUUAGUGGUGGCCCUUGAGCAAGGAUGACAUGCAGGUUUGUGAAAUGUUCCAUAUUAAA